rnacentral:rRNA from 1 species
AUUGAACGCUGGCGGCAGGCCUAACACAUGCAAGUCGAGCGGAGCGGCGGACGGGGGAGUAAGGCCUAGGAAUCUGCCUGGUAGCGGGGGAGAAGGUCAGGUAACGGGCGGAAAUACCGCAUACUAUCAGAUGAGGCUAGGUCGGAUUAGCUAGUUGGGGGGGUAAAGGCUCACCAAGGCGACGAUCCGUAACUGGGCUGAGAGGACGAUCAGUCACACUGGAACUGAGACACGGUCCAGACUCCUACGGGAGGCAGCAGUGGGGAAUGUUGGACAAUGGGCGAAAGCCUGAUCCAGCCAUCCCGCGUGUGUGAAGAAGGCCUUCGGAUUGUAAAGCACUUUUAGUUGGGAGGCGUUACCAACAGAAUAAGCACCGGCUAACUUCGUGCCAGCAGCCGCGGUAAUAC